rnacentral:rRNA from 1 species
GACGAACGCUGGCGGCGUGCUUAACACAUGCAAGUCGAACGGAAAGGCCCUGCUCUUGUGGGGUGCUCGAGUGGCGAACGGGUGAGUAACACGUGAGUAACCUGCCCUUGACUUUGGGAUAACUUCAGGAAACUGGGGCUAAUACCGGAUAGGAGCUCCUGCUGCAUGGUGGGGGUUGGAAAGUUUCGGCGGUUGGGGAUGGACUCGCGGCUUAUCAGCUUGUUGGUGGGGUAGUGGCUUACCAAGGCUUUGACGGGUAGCCGGCCUGAGAGGGGGACCGGCCACAUUGGGACUGAGAUACGGCCCAGACUCCUACGGGAGGCAGAAGUGGGGAGUAUUGCACAAUGGGCGGAAGCCUGAUGCAGCAACGCCGCGUGCGGGAUGACGGCCUUCGGGUUGUAAACCGCUUUCGCCUGUGACGAAGCGUGAGUGACGGUAAUGGGUAAAGAAGCACCGGCUAACUACGUG